AUUGAACGCUGGCGGAAUGCUUUACACAUGCAAGUCGAACGGCAGCACGGGGCAACCUGGUGGCGAGUGGCGAACGGGUGAGUAAUACAUCGGAACGUGCCCAAUCGUGGGGAUAACGUAGCGAAAGUUACGCUAAUACCGCAUACGAUCUACGGAUGAAAGCGGGGGAUCGCAAGACCUCGCGCGAAUGGAGCGGCCGAUGUCAGAUUAGGUAGUCGGUGGGGUAAAGGCUCACCAAGCCAACGAUCUGUAGCUGGUCUGAGAGGACGACCAGCCACACUGGAACUGAGACACGGUCCCAGACUCCUACGGAGGCAGCAGUGGGAAUUUUUGGGACAAUGGGCGCAAGCCUGAUCCAGCCAUUCCGCGUGCAGGAUGAAAGGCC
rnacentral:rRNA from 1 species